CUUUUUUGGCUUCUAUGAAAAGGAAUAAUUUUAUAUUUGGUCUGCACUUGAUAAUGUUGGGUUGUACGAGUAACAGUUUGUACAUCAGCGGUACAGCCACUUCUUGUUUGAAAAUAGCUUGAAAUUUUACAACACUCAUUUUUCAAGGAAUAUUUUUGUCAAAGUUUUCGUGGCUUCAAUGAAAGGGAAUGAUUAGUUGUUUUUAAGUAUAAAUGUUACCUCAAUCAAUUUCAAGCAGUGACGCAAAUGCAAAGCCAGGAGAUUACCUAUUUGUAUUAGCUUAAACUCAAAUUGUGAUAUGUUACCUUUGGUCAUUGUUGAAGGCCGUACAGUGACCUGUAGCUGUUAAUUUCUGUGUCAUUUGGUCUCUUGUGGAGAGUUGUCUCAUUGGCAAUCAUACCACAUCUUUUUAUACCCUCCACAAACAGGCAAUAUAAAAUUAUUGAGCCAUUUUAUUCUAUACAUCAAUCAUGCAACUAAAUUAAAAAUUAAACUUUUGAUGUCCAUUUUUUUGUGUAUUAUAUUGAAAUUUUCUAUUUGAGUGUAUUGUUUAUGUUCAUUAUUGCAUGGCAGUUGAAUGGGGAAAUUCAGAACUGCCAUAUUAUUUUCAAAUAUUGAUUUGUUAUUUGAAUUUUUUGUGUGAGUGUAAUAAUUUAUCAAAGCAUUUCUUUGCAGGUGCUCAGUUUUUAAUUUAGGUUUACUUUUUGAGAAUAAUUUCAAUAAAUAAGGUGUCAUGAGGCCUGUUACUGGUCUCAAAUUCAAUAUUGGACUAAGAAGCCAGUAUUUGAAAUCAUUUUGUUUUAGUUUUUAGAGCUAGUCUUCAUACAGAUUUCAAACUUUCUAAUUGAUGAUCUGUUCCAGUUGACUGAGACAAUAUAUAGCUUUGGUUCUCUUGAUAGGGUGUUUAAGAUAUAAAACUUCAUGAAAAACUGUUAUUCAGAAAUGUGAAAAAGUGAAAUAAUUAUUUACAAAAGGACAUUUUGAAUUCCCAGGGCAGACAGGAACACUAUAUAACAGUAAUCGACCCAUCCACCUAUUCUUUUUCAUUUAAAAAAAUGGUCAAAAGGUUAAGGGUUAAAAUUGCACAAAACGUCUGUCUGCUCAGUUGAAUCAUGUGACAGAGAAAUGUCUGCAGAAGUAAUGAAAUGAAUGGUAGAAAUAUUAUCAUACUGAGUCAAGCUUUUAAGCACUUUCUAUAAACAAAAUAAAAAAUUGCGACAUUAGCAAGUAGAAAAAUAACACAAAUAUUUUGUUGUGAAUAUACUUCCAUCUUAUCCUAUAUAAAUGCAGCGAUAAAUAUAAAGCAUCGCAAAAAUAAAUCUCUGAGAAUUUCAAUAUAAAGGGCAUAACGCGAAAUCAAGUACAUAUUGUAACUGCGAAAAUAAGUUGUUUUACAGUGCUUUUCACACUAAGCAUACCUGAGAAAGGUAAAAGCAGUUUUUUUUUACAGAUUUGCUUUAAGUGCCAGAAGUUUGAAGCUCUGAUUCAAAUCUGUAAGAUAAAAUUAAAAUGUAAUUCAAGGGGCAUACUAUCUUCUGUACCACUCCCCUUUUAAACCUAUAAACAUGAGUGUAUAUGUUUGUAAUGUUUACUCAUUUUGUACACAACAAGUAAAAGUUGUGUAUUGUGUUAUUAAUUAUUCUAUGGUGGCAUGAUAUAUGAAAUUAUGUACAUAUUUAUGUGAUGGAAUGUCAUUUUUAUAAAGAAUUAAAAUGUAAAUAAA
rnacentral:lncRNA from 1 species